GACGAACGCUGGCGGCGUGCUUAACACAUGCAAGUCGAACGAAGUGGCGAACGGGUGAGUAACGCGUAAUCAACCUGCCCUUCAGAGGGGGACAACAGUGGGAAACGACUCCUAAUACCGCAUACUGAAGGAGGGGAUUGCGUGGGAUUAGCUAGUUGGGGGGGUAACGGCCCACCAAGGCGAUGAUCAGUAGCCGGUCUGGGGGGGUGGACGGCCACAUUGGGACUGGGGAACGGCCCAGACUCCUACCGGGGGCAGCAAGGGGGAAUCUUCCGCAAUGGGCGAAAGUCUGACGGAGCAACGCCGCGUGGGUGGUGACGGCCUUCGGGUUGUAAAGCUCUGUUAAUCGGGACGCGGUACCGGAAGAGAAAGCCACGGCUAACUACGUGCCAGCAGCCGCGGUAAUUC
rnacentral:rRNA from 1 species